rnacentral:rRNA from 1 species
AUUGAACGCUGGCGGCAGGCCUAACACAUGCAAGUAGAGCGGAGCGGCGGACGGGGGAGUUAUGACUAGGAAUGUGCAUGGUAGUGGGGGAUCACGUCGGGAAACGGGCGCUAUUACCGCCUACUCUCAAAUGGACCUAGGUCGGCUUAGCUAGUGGGUGGGGUAAUGGCCUACCAAGGCGACGAUCCGUAACUGGUCUGAGAGGAUGAUCAGUCACACUGGAACUGAGACACGGUCCAGACCCCUACGGUAGGCAGCAGUGGGGAAUAUUGGACAAUGGGCGAAAGCCUGAUCCAGCCAUGCCGCGUGUGUGAAGAAGGUCUUCGGAUUGUAAAGCACUUUAAGUUGGGAGGCGUUACCAACAGAAUAAGCACCGGCUAACUUCGUGCCAGCAGCCGCGGUAAUUC